UUAAGAGCUUGCUCUUAUGAAGUUAGCGGCGGACGGGUGAGUAACACGUGGGUAACCUGCCCAUAAGACUGGGAUAACUCCGGGAAACCGGGGCUAAUACCGGAUAACAUUUUGAACUGCAUGGUUCGAAAUUGAAAGGCGGCUUCGGCUGUCACUUAUGGAUGGACCCGCGUCGCAUUAGCUAGUUGGUGAGGUAACGGCUCACCAAGGCAACGAUGCGUAGCCGACCUGAGAGGGUGAUCGGCCACACUGGGACUGAGACACGGCCCAGACUCCUACGGGAGGCAGCAGUAGGGAAUCUUCCGCAAUGGACGAAAGUCUGACGGAGCAACGCCGCGUGAGUGAUGAAGGCUUUCGGGUCGUAAAACUCUGUUGUUAGGGAAGAACAAGUGCUAGUUGAAUAAGCUGGCACCUUGACGGUACCUAACCAGAAAGCCACGGCUAACUACGUGCCAGCAGCCGCGGUAAUACGUAGGUGGCAAGCGUUAUCCGGAAUUAUUGGG
rnacentral:rRNA from 1 species